rnacentral:misc_RNA from 1 species
GAUGAAGAACGUAGUGAAAUGCGAUAAGUAAUGUGAAUUGCAGAAUUCAGUGAAUCAUCGAAUCUUUGAACGCACAUUGCGCCCUGUGGUAUUCCGCAGGGCAUGCCUGUUCGAGCGUCAUUUCAACCCUCAAGCCCCGCUUGGUGUUGGGCCCCGCCCGCUGUGGCCGGCCCUAAAGACAGUGGCGGUGCCGCCUGGCCCUGAGCGUAGUACAUCUCUCGCUCCAGUGCCCGGUGGUAGCCUGCCAGAACCCCAACUCUCGUGGUUGACCUCGGAUCAGGUAGGGAUACCCGCUGAACUUAAGCAUAUCAAUAAGCGGAGGA